rnacentral:rRNA from 1 species
UCGGCAAUGGGCGCAAGCCUGACCGAGCGACGCCGCGUGCGGGAUGAAGGCCCUCGGGUUGUAAACCGCUGUCAGAGGGGAUGAAGUGUACGAGAGCUAUCUCUUGUAUUUGACAGAGCCUCAGAGGAAGCACGGGCUAAGUUCGUGCCAGCAGCCGCGGUAAUACGAACUGUGCGAACGUUAUUCGGAAUCACUGGGCUUAAAGGGUGCGUAGGCUGUUACCUAAGUCAGGUGUGAAAUCUCUCGGCUCAACCGGGAAACUGCGCUUGAUACUGGGUGGCUAGAGUGAGGUAGGGGUGUGUGGAACUUCCGGUGGAGCGGUGAAAUGUGUAGAUAUCGGAAGGAACGCCAGCAGCGAAAGCGGCACACUGGGCCUUUUCUGACGCUGAGGCACGAAAGCUAGGGGAGCGAACGGGAUUAGAUACCCCGGUAGUCUUGGCUGUAAACGAUGAGCACUUGAUUGAAGGGUCCUCCAUAGCCUUUCAGUCGUAGCGAAAGUGUUAAGUGCUCCGCCUGGGGAGUAUGGUCGCAAGGCUGAAACUCAAAGAA